UCUAACCACUAGCCCCCACUCCCCUACCAGAGCUGGGGAGAGAACCCAGGAGUCCUGGCUUGCAGCCGUUCGGGGUAACUAGGCUCCGUGGGGACCCGGAGGAGCAGGUCUCACGUUCCUUGCCACGGCUGUUCUCCUUGCCAGUUACUGGGACUGGUAAAUACCCCCUGUCUUUUUGGGAAAUCUCCCAGCUUUUUACUGAAAAGUCUCCGUCUCGAUCCCUCCUGGGCCCAAAGAGGAGAAGCCCCAUUCGCCAGCCAGGAGGCUGCGUGUGCCUUGCAGAUCUGCCCGAUGCUGGAUUCUGCAGUGCCCUCCGACCUUUGUGCAGAGGGGUGGAUGGCUAAAAAAGCCAGCUUAGCCGCUGAUGGGCUGCCAACGUACAGAUUACGACUGAGAACAUCCAUGCUCUGGACUGUCAAGAGGAUCAAGGGUUCUUCCUGGGAGUCUUACUGCUCUACAGGCCCGAAUUAAACGCCAUCGGUUCCGUUCCUAAAACAGGCGUCUCCUAAAUUCCUGCUUUUGUCUGCCUCGGGAUGACCCAGAGGAAGGUAACCGUGUCUCGUCCUCCCUCCCCUCCAGGAGAGAGCCGGAUCGUCUGGUGCUAGCCCCGGGGGUUUGCACGAAGCCCACGAAAUUCUGUGCCGUGUUUUGGGGAUGCCGAAUCUCCUGCGUGUAGUGGGAAGUGGAGGACCGUUCGCGCCCGGCCGGCUGAAAGCGCGCUGGCGAGCUUUCUGCGCGUCACGGGUUGUUUUGGAAAGAACCAGUGUGCUGGGGUUACUGUCAAUGUUGCAAUCCUGGCGUGUGUCAACCGGUGAGAUUGCCGUAAUAAAAAGUACAGUAGGGCAGAGGUUA